rnacentral:rRNA from 1 species
GCUCGAGUGGCGAACGGGAGAGUAACACGUGAGUAACCUGCCCUUGACUUUGGGAUAACUUCAGGAAACUGGGGCUAAUACCGGAUAGGAGCUCCUGCUGCAUGGUGGGGGUUGGAAAGUUUCGGCGGUUGGGGAUGGACUCGCGGCUUAUCAGCUUGUUGGUGGGGUAGUGGCUUACCAAGGCUUUGACGGGUAGCCGGCCUGAGAGGGUGACCGGCCACAUUGGGACUGAGAUACGGCCCAG